CGUCUAGGCGGGGGAUUAAGUUAGGUGUGAAAUCCAUGGGCUCAACUCAUGAAUUGCACCUAAAACUGGUUCUCUUGAGUUCGGGAGAGGAGAGCGGAAUUCCAGGUGUAGCGGUGAAAUGCGUAGAUAUCUGGAAGAACACCAGUGGCGAAGGCGGCUCUCUGGCCUAGAACUGACGUUGAAGCGCGAAAGCGUGGGGAGCGAACG
rnacentral:rRNA from 1 species